GCGUUGUUCGGAUUCAUUGGGCGUAAAGGGUGCGUAGGUGGCGUGGUAAGUCGGGUGUGAAAUUUCGGAGCUUAACUCCGAAACUGCAUUCGAUACUGCCGUGCUUGAGGACUGGAGAGGAGACUGGAAUUUACGGUGUAGCAGUGAAAUGCGUAGAGAUCGUAUGGAAGACCAGUGGCGAAGGCGGCUCUCUGGACAGUUACUGACACUGAGGCACGAAGGCGAG
rnacentral:rRNA from 1 species